rnacentral:ribozyme from 1 species
UGCCCAGCAACUCCUAUCCCUACCUCCUCGUGGUACUGGCCGGGGUACGAGUUACCUUGGGGGAAGA